CCUACGGGAGGCAGCAGUGAGGAAUAUUGGUCAAUGGACGAGAGUCUGAACCAGCCAAGUAGCGUGAAGGAUGACUGCCCUAUGGGUUGUAAACUUCUUUUAUAUGGGAAUAAAAUGUUCCACGUGUGGGUUUUUGUAUGUACCAUAUGAAUAAGGCUCGGCUAACUCCGUGCCAGCAGCCGCGGUAAUACGGAGGAUCCGAGCGUUAUCCGGAUUUAUUGGGUUUAAAGGGAGCGUAGGUGGAUUGUUAAGUCAGUUGUGAAAGUUUGCGGCUCAACCGUAAAAUUGCAGUUGAAACUGGCAGUCUUGAGUACAGUAGAGGUGGGCGGAAUUCGUGGUGUAGCGGUGAAAUGCUUAGAUAUCACGAAGAACUCCGAUUGCGAAGGCAGCUCACUGGACUGCAACUGACACUGAGGCUCGAAAGUGUGGGUAUCAAACAGGAUUAGAUACCCGAGUAGUC
rnacentral:rRNA from 1 species